AGUUUUAUUUGGGCAAAAGUAGUAAUGUUUCGACAUUUGCGGGUCUUCAUUAAGCUUGAUAAAGACCCAGUAGUGUCGAAACGUUACUGCUUUUGCCCCAAUAAAGCU